rnacentral:rRNA from 1 species
GACGUAGGGAGCGAGCGUUGUCCGGAUUCAUUGGGCGUAAAGCGCGCGUAGGCGGUUUGGUAAGUCGGAUGUGCAAUCCCGAGGCUCAACCUCGUGACUGCAUUCGAUACUGCCCGACUAGAGGUAGGUAGGGGCGAUCGGAAUUCCUGGUGUAGCGGUGAAAUGCGCAGAUAUCAGGAGGAACACCGGUGGCGAAGGCGGAUCUCUGGGCCUUACCUGACGCUGAGGUGCGAAAGCUAGGGGAGCGAACAGG